GGGCCUAUAGUUUCAAUGGUAAAACGCUUCUCUCCAAAAGAAGAGUUCCAGGUUCAAGUCCUGGUGGGCCCGCCA
rnacentral:tRNA from 1 species